UACGUAGGGUCCAAGCGUUAAUCGGAAUUACUGGGCGUAAAGCGUGCGCAGGCGGCGCGUUAAGACAGGUGUGAAAGCCCCGAGCUUAACUUGGGAAUUGCGCUUGUGACUGGCGUGCUGGAGUGUGGCAGAGGGAGGUGGAAUUCCACGUGUAGCAGUGAAAUGCGUAGAGAUGUGGAGGAACACCGAUGGCGAAGGCAGCCUCCUGGGCCAGCACUGACGCUCAUGCACGAAAGCGUGGGGAGCAAACAGG
rnacentral:rRNA from 1 species